rnacentral:rRNA from 1 species
UACAGAGGUCUCAACCGUUGUUCGGAUUCAUUGGGCGUAAAGGGUGCGUAGGCGGUCGGGUAAGUCGGAUGUGAAAUCCCCGGGCUCAACCUGGGAACUGCAUCCGAAACUGCCUUGCUAGAGUAUGGGAGAGGGAAGUGGAAUUUCCGGUGUAGCGGUGAAAUGCGUAGAUAUCGGAAGGAACAUCAGUGGCGAAAGCGACUUCCUGGACCAAUACUGACGCUCAUGUGCGAAAGCGUGGGGAGCAAACAGG